GAGUUUGAUCCUGGCUCAKGAUGAACGCUAGCGGCWGGCUUAAUACAUGCAAGUCGAGGGGCASCAGCUUUAUAGCAAUAUAGAGGCUGGCGACCGGCAAACGGGUGCGGAACACGUACACAACCUUCCUUGAAUAGGGGGAUAGCCCAUARAAAUGUGGAUUAAUACCCCGUAAUAUAKCGGUGUGGCAUCACACUGUUAUUAUAGUUUCGGCGAUUCGAGAUGGGUGUGCGGCUGAUUAGGUAGUUGGCGGGCUAAASGMCCGCCAAGCCUUCYAUCAYYCCUCUGAUGUGAGAGCAUGAUCAGCCACYCUGGCACUGAGACACCGGCCCG
rnacentral:rRNA from 1 species